rnacentral:rRNA from 1 species
UGCGGUUAUACAAAAAUUAAAUUGAAUUUUUUUAGGAUUUAAUAAAUAAAUAAUUUUAUAAAUAAAUUAAAUUUAAAAUUAUAAAGUGAAAUUUUAAUUUAAAUAAAAUUUAUUUGUUUUUAUGAUAUUAAUAAAUUUUGCGAAAAACUAGGAUUAGAUACCCUAUUAUAAAAAUUUAAAUAUAAUAAAUCUUAAAAUAGUAUAUAAUUUUUUAUAGAAACUUAAAUAAUUUGGCGGUAUUUUAGUUCAUUUAGAGGAAUCUGUCUAAUAAUUGAUAAUCCACGAUUAAAUUUACUUAAUUUUUAAUUUUGUAUAUCGUUGUUAAAAAAAUAUUUUUAAAUAAUUAUAAUAUUUUAAAAUUUUAAUAUAAAUUUAAAUCAGAUCAAGAUGCAGAUUAUAAUUAAGAAUAUGAUGGAUUACAAUAAAUUUUAUUUACUUUGAAUAUUAAUUUGUAAUAAAUUAAUUGAAAUUGGAUUUAAAUGUAAUUUUAUUAAUUUUGUUAAAAUGAUUAAAAAUUAAAAUAUGUACAUAUUGCCCGUCGCUUUCAUUAAUAAAUUGAAAUAAGUCGUAACAAAGUAGAGGUACUGGAAAGUGUUUCUAGAAAGAU